AGGGUCCCGCAUCGUCACCCUCGUGCUGCGCGCCCCAGGGCACGCGCCCCAAAGCCCUGGCCAGCUGGCUCUUUGGGCACCUGGGGAAGGCGGCAGGGAAGCCUUCCCGCCUCACGAUUGCUGCGCUCCGACUCCCGCCAUCUAAGAUGGCGGCCCCAGCGUCCGCGAAGAAGACGCUCUCAGCGGCCCACCAGCGAGUGCUCUACUCGGCGCUCCUCCUCCCGGCCUGCGGCGCCCGCUCUCCCUUUCUGAGCGAGCUCUACCCGCGAUCAGUCGGCUCUCGGCAAGGGAAUCUGAGUGCCACAUCUGAAGUCUUGUUACCCUGUGUGGACAGACUCCAUACAAAGGCCUCGCAGAGAGCAAGGGGAAGCCCGAAACUACUUGGAGAGACAGAGUUUCAGCCUUGCCAGGCUCGCUGUAGCCAACCCCACCAAGCUGCCAGAUGUGACGCGCCAUCUUGGCUGUCCCACACAGAGGACUGUUACCCCAGACGCAGAGGAGAGGUGGCUCCAGAUGACCCUGUCUUUCAACCAGGUCCUGAGAGGUAAUAAAGCAGUGAUAUUUUAAAACCAUUACGUGUGGGAUGGUCUGUUAUGCAACAGUAAGUAAUCAAGAUACCACUGGCUAAACGUAACCAGAAACUAAUGACCAAGGAAGCCCUCUAAGGUGGUAUGAUCAACUUCUGGAUGCAGAGUGGAAUGGAGAAGGGUGGGAGUGACCUGGAGGGAAAACUGAGGCCAACAUGCUGAUCCUAGUGGCUUGGAGGAUGGGAGAGGGCUCCUGGGUUUGUGAUGUUCGGAUUUUGAGACUUUAUCAAAGCAGGAAGUGCUGGAUGAUGUCAACUUUGGAGGAGAAGCACAAUUUCCUUGUUGGAUACUCCAAGGCUGAGAAGACCUGGGAUGUCCAUGUGGAACUGUCACAGGAGAAGUGGGUCAGGGGACACAGGUGGCCAUGGUAGCUGAAGGGGAGGGAGCUUGCCCAGAUUGAGGCGAGCAGGGCACUGAGGACUGAGCCCAGAGGAGCCCCAGCACCUUAUACUCCAGUCCUCUGAGACUCAGAGAAGAGACAUCAGAGAGGUGGAGAGAGGCCAGAAAUACACGGUGCCAGAAGGAAGAGCAGGUGAUGUCUCUCAAGGCAGAGGAGGAUGGACAGGUUCACCACAGAGGUGGCCCUUGGGCAGCCA
rnacentral:lncRNA from 1 species